UUGAACGCUGGCGGCAUGCUUUACACAUGCAAGUCGAACGGCAGCACGGGGGCAACCCUGGUGGCGAGUGGCGAACGGGUGAGUAAUGCAUCGGAACGUGCCCAGUAGUGGGGGAUAACGCGUCGAAAGAUGUGCUAAUACCGCAUACGUACUGAGGUAGAAAGCGGGGGAUCGUAAGACCUCGCGCUAUUGGAGCGGCCGAUGUCCGAUUAGCUAGUUGGUAGGGUAAAGGCCUACCAAGGCGACGAUCGGUAGCUGGUCUGAGAGGAUGAUCAGCCACACUGGGACUGAGACACGGCCCAGACUCCUACGGGAGGCAGCAGUGGGGAAUUUUGGACAAUGGGCGAAAGCCUGAUCCAGCCAUGCCGCGUGAGUGAAGAAGGCCUUCGGGUUGUAAAGCUCUUUCGGCCGGAACGAAAUCGUCCGGGCUAAUACCUCGGAUGGAUGACGGUACUGGAAGAAGAAGCACCGGCUAACUACGU
rnacentral:rRNA from 1 species